rnacentral:rRNA from 1 species
CUAAGUUUGAUGGCGACCGGCGCACGGGUGAGUAACACGUAUCCAACCUGCCGAUGACUCGGGGAUAGCCUUUCGAAAGAAAGAUUAAUACCCGAUGGCAUAGUUCUUCCGCAUGGUAGAACUAUUAAAGAAUUUCGGUCAUCGAUGGGGAUGCGUUCCAUUAGGUUGUUGGCGGGUAACGGCCCACCAAGCCUUCGAUGGAUAGGGGUUCUGGGAGGAAGGUCCCCCACAUUGGAACUGAGACACGGUCCAAACUCCUACGGGAGGCAGCAUG